ACGAUACAAUACAUGAGAGAAAUUGAUGUACUCAAAGUAUCAACAGAAAAUAUAUCUUCAUCUCGUGUGUGCGUGUGUGUGUGUGUGUACAUAAUGAAUUUGAACUCUGUUCAGCACCACUCAACUCUUUUUAACAGGACCUGUCUACCUUACAGAUUCUGUAACAUACGCACCCAAUGCAUGCACCACACCUGUCCUGCAUAUGGAGAAAAAGCAUGCAAUUGUUUUUGUUUGGUAGCUAGCUAACCAAUCAGGAGCUGGCUAAGUUGGAUCUGUAUGUUACAGAAUCUGUAACUUAGCCAGCUCCCUUUUUAACAUAUUAAUCGGUCUUACCACCUCGUAUUGCAACAAAAAUGCUGCAAAAUUUAUGUACAAUAAGGAUUUUUUUUUUUAAAAAAAAAAAAAUCUGAAAUAUGUACACUUUGGAUCUAGAGGAGAGACAACGAAAAUACUAUGAAAUCGUCACAAAUGAAGAUCCAGACGAACAAAAAGUUAUUAUGAAUAAAAAUUAAGAUAGAUACAAAACAUCAUUAUAACUUUUUUCACUCGCAUAGAAGGAGGAAAUUGUAAGAAGAAACCAACAAAGGAGGAAAUUGCCCACCGGAUGAAAGGAGGAGGAGGAGGAAAUUGCUUUUUGUUUGAGAGAUUUUACUAGCGUGGCUUGUCUUUGAAUGCCAACUGAAACCAGAGUUGAGUUUUGAGUCCAGUUGAACAAAUCAUGUUGAUACCACCAGUGCCAUUUCGAAACAGACCACGGCACGGAAUAAAAUAAAUAAAAUCAAUUAUGUAAUAACUCGAUCGUGUGAAAGUAGGCUAAUUGGUGAUGGUGAUCCAACGCGGACUUGUAACAAACAUCUCGUUGAUUUGCUUCGUAUUUGGAUCCUACACACCUACAUAAAUGAUAAGUCUUCUGGAACAAAUUCAAACCAUAAAUAUGUCUGUCCUUUUCUUGAUGAAUCGUUAAACGACGUCACCUACAUUAUUG
rnacentral:lncRNA from 1 species